GAAAAUAACUCUAAAAUAUUAAAAACAAAUCGGAAAAUUUAAAUUUAAAAACAAAUCGGAAAAGGAAAAUAACUCUAAAAUAUUAAAAAAAAACUAAUAAACACCUUAAAAAGAAAACGAUGUUGAUUUAUUCUCUAUUGAUUUUCUUUGCAUAUUCUUUUUCUCUCUAUUUCUGUCUCUGUUUAAGCUCCAAAAAUCCCCCCAAUUUACAGAUUUAUCUCGGUCUUUUAUAGCCGAAAAUGGAAAAC
rnacentral:lncRNA from 1 species